GAGCUGUUCUAAUAACCCAUUAAAGGUGCAAUGUGUAAUACUGACAGCUAGUGUUAAAAAUAGGUUACUGCAGUACCAAUUCAAAAUGCUGGAGAGAGUUGUCUCUCCCUCUCCUUCCUCCCCAGACUCAAAGUUCACGAUGGUUGCCAGGCUGAGACCGCAGCUUUCACAACAAUUUUGCUAGACGCUUGUCUCACAUGUAUUACUUCACUGCACAGCAGAGUAGCUAACUUUAGAUGCUGGCUAUAGUUACAGUCAUAAAAGCCCGUGCUCACGCAGAGCUCUGUUCCCAACUAACAGACACA